AUUGAACGCUGGCGGAAUGCUUUACACAUGCAAGUCGAACGGUAGAGGGGGCAACCCCUUGAGAGUGGCGAACGGGUGAGUAAUAUAUCGGAACGUGCCCAGUCGUGGGGAUAACGUAGCGAAAGUUACGCUAAUACCGCAUACGAUCUAUGGAUGAAAGCGGGGGAUCGCAAGACCUCGCGCGAUUGGAGCGGCCGAUAUCAGAUUAGGUAGUUGGUGAGGUAAAGGCUCACCAAGCCGACGAUCUGUAGCUGGUCUGAGAGGACGACCAGCCACACUGGGACUGAGACACGGCCCAGACUCCUACGGGAGGCAGCAGUGGGGAAUUUUGGACAAUAGGGCGCAAGCCUGAUCCAGCAAUGCCGCGUGCAGGAUGAAGGCCU
rnacentral:rRNA from 1 species